CCUUAGAGUUUGAUCCUGGCUCAGGAUGAACGCUAGCUACAGGCUUAACACAUGCAAGUCGAGGGGCAGCAUGGUCUUAGCUUGCUAAGGCCGAUGGCGACCGGCGCACGGGUGAGUAACACGUAUCCAACCUGCCGUCUACUCUUGGACAGCCUUCUGAAAGGAAGAUUAAUACAAGAUGGCAUCAUGAGUCCGCAUGUUCACAUGAUUAAAGGUAUUCCGGUAGACGAUGGGGAUGCGUUCCAUUAGAUAGUAGGCGGGGUAACGGCCCACCUAGUCUUCGAUGGAUAGGGGUUCUGAGAGGAAGGUCCCCCACAUUGGAACUGAGACACGGUCCAAACUCCUACGGGAGGCAGCAGUGAGGAAUAUUGGUCAAUGGGCGAGAGCCUGAACCAGCCAAGUAGCGUGAAGGAUGACUGCCCUAUGGGUUGUAAACUUCUUUUAUAAAGGAAUAAAGUCGGGUAUGCAUACCCGUUUGCAUGUACUUUAUGAAUAAGGAUCGGCUAACUCCGUGCCAGCAGCCGCGGUAAUACGGAGGAUCCGAGCGUUAUCCGGAUUUAUUGGGUUUAAAGGGAGCGUAGAUGGAUGUUUAAGUCAGUUGUGAAAGUUUGCGGCUCAACCGUAAAAUUGCAGUUGAUACUGGAUAUCUUGAGUGCAGUUGAGGCAGGCGGAAUUCGUGGUGUAGCGGUGAAAUGCUUAGAUAUCACGAAGAACUCCGAUUGCGAAGGCAGCCUGCUAAGCUGCAACUGACAUUGAGGCUCGAAAGUGUGGGUAUCAAACAGGAUUAGAUACCCUGGUAGUCCACACGGUAAACGAUGAAUACUCGCUGUUUGCGAUAUACGGCAAGCGGCCAAGCGAAAGCGUUAAGUAUUCCACCUGGGGAGUACGCCGGCAACGGUGAAACUCAAAGGAAUUGACGGA
rnacentral:rRNA from 1 species